UACGGCAGGUCCGGGCGUUAUCCGGAUUUAUUGGGUUUAAAGGGAGCGUAGGCCGGCUUUUAAGUCAGCUGUGAAAGUCCGCGGCUCAACCGUGGAAUUGCAGUUGAAACUGGCGGCCUCGAGUGGGCGAGAAGUAUGCGGAAUGCGUGGUGUAGCGGUGAAAUGCAUAGAUAUCACGCAGAACUCCGAUUGCGAAGGCAGCAUACCGGCGCCCGACUGACGCUGAGGCACGAAAGCGUGGGUAUCGAACAGG
rnacentral:rRNA from 1 species